rnacentral:rRNA from 1 species
UACGGAGGGUGCAAGCGUUAUCCGGAUUCACUGGGUUUAAAGGGCGCGUAGGCGGAUGGCACAGUCAGAUGUGAAAUUCCCGGGCUUAACCUGGGGGCUGCAUUUGAUACGUGUUGUCUAGAGUGAGGAAGAGGGUUGUGGAAUUCCCAGUGUAGAGGUGAAAUUCGUAGAUAUUGGGAAGAACACCAGUGGCGAAGGCGGCUCUCUGGACCGUAGCUGACGCUGAGGCGCGAAAGCGUGGGGAGCAAACAGG